rnacentral:rRNA from 1 species
UACGUAGGCAGCAAGCGUUGUUCGGAAUUACUGGGCGUAAAGGGCGCGUAGGCGGCCUUCUAAGUCGAACGUGAAAUCCCCGGGCUCAACCCGGGAACUGCGUCCGAUACUGGAAGGCUUGAAUCCGGGAGAGGGAUGCGGAAUUCCAGGUGUAGCGGUGAAAUGCGCAGAUAUCAGGAGGAACACCGGUGGCGAAGGCGGGUCUCUGGGAAGUAACUGACGCUGAGAAGCGAAAGCGUGGGUAGCGAACAGG